AUAUCUUCCUCGACCUUUUAGCUAAGAUCGAGUGUAGUAUCUGUUCUUAUCAGUUGAUACCUUCCACAGGGCCCAUAAAACGGCAGACGAUAAAAUUAGUUUCUUGUGGGGGAGGGCCUACCACCAAUAGUUUGCUAUUAGAGCCCUUGAUUUUUACUCAUGCAAUGCACUACUGCAGUCCUGAGCACACUCUGA